rnacentral:misc_RNA from 1 species
UCACAUUGGUUAACAGUUCUAA